rnacentral:misc_RNA from 1 species
UUUUGGUGAUUUGGGGUUUGCUGUGUGUGGACCUGUUGGUAGAUUGUCUGUUGAUCUUAUGAUUAUUCUAUCUCAAGCUGGUUUUUGCGUUAGCUACUUGAUUUUUGUGGCUAAUACUUUGGCAUAUUUGUUCAAUUAUUCAAUUGCAAAACCUGAUCCCAAAAUCUUGGGACUUUCACCCAAGGCAGCUUAUAUAUGGGGCUGUUUCCCAUUUCAGUUGGGAUUGAAUUCAAUACCUACUCUGACCCUUUUAGCCCCUUUAAGUAUUUUUGCUGAUAUUGCUGAAUUAGGAGCUAUGGGUGUGGUGAUGGUUGAGGAUGUGAUGAUUUACCUUCAGAACAGGCCUGUUCUUGAAAUGUUUGGUGGGUUCAAUGUGUUUUUCUAUGGACUUGGUGUGGCUGUGUAUGCUUUUGAAGGGAUUGGUAUGGUCUUACCUCUGGAAUCAGAGACAAGAGACAAGGACAAGUUUGGGAAAAUCUUGGGAUUGGCAAUGGGCUUCAUAUCAUUGCUGUUUGGUGCUUUUGGAGUAUUGGGCUACUUUGCAUUUGGGGAAGACACUAAAGAUAUAAUCACUACAAAUCUUGGGCAGGGAUUGCUCAGCACCUUUGUUCAACUUGGCCUUUGCAUAAACCUGUUUUUCUCUUUCCCCCUUAUGAUGAAUCCAGUCUAUGAAGUAAUGGAAAGGAGAUUCUGGGAAGGCAGGUACUGUGUGUGGUUGAGAUGGCUUGUGGUUUUAGCAGUGACUUUUGUUGCAUUGGCGGUGCCCAAUUUUGCUGAUUUCUUGUCACUUGUUGGGAGCAGUGUGUGCAUUGUUUUGGGAUUUGUGUUGCCUUCUUUGUUUCACUUAAUUGCGUUCAAAGAUGAAUUGAGAUGGUAUGGUUUUGCUUCUGAUGCUGCAUUGAUUGUCAUGGGCACAAUUUUUGCCGUCUAUGGAACCUCUUCUUCCCUGAUGGAGAUCUUUGCAAAAAAAGCUUAGUUUCUUUUCCUCAUAGCAUUUCAUAAGAUGUAUAUUGAAGAGAUUGUUUUUAUUCAUAAGCAAAGGGCAAGUAAGUCCACACUUUGUUCCUACUAGUAAUUCAUUUGUUAAGCUAUUAUUUUUGAGUAUGUUGAGGGGUGUGAGGGUCAUGUUCAUGUACGAUUGGAAUUUACUACAAG